CAGCCGCCGCGGUAAAACGUAGGUGGCAAGCGUUGUCCGGAAUUAUUGGGCGUAAAGGGCUCGCAGGCGGUUUCUUAAGUCUGAUGUGAAAGCCCCCGGCUCAACCGGGGAGGGUCAUUGGAAACUGGGAAACUUGAGUGCAGAAGAGGAGAGUGGAAUUCCACGUGUAGCGGUGAAAUGCGUAGAGAUGUGGAGGAACACCAGUGGCGAAGGCGACUCUCUGGUCUGUAACUGACGCUGAGGAGCGAAAGCGUGGGGAGCGAACAGGAUUAGAUACCCCAGUAGUCCCUGUCUCUUAUAU
rnacentral:rRNA from 1 species